CAAAACACAUAGAACACAAGAUGAAAACCUUCCAAAUUUCUUCCUCCUCCCCCCACCUAGAUUUCCAAUUCCAUUACCACCAAAUCCACCCUUUAGAUAAUCAGUUCUCAAUUCCUCGAGAAGAGAGAAGUCCCUCUUGCACCACAGACUUCCCCAGGAAACAGUCGAAACUUCUCGUGCUUCCAUGUCACGUGUGGCACCGCCCGGAGAACAUUUUGCCAUCGUGACUUCUUCCUUCCAUGUCCAGUGCUCUCACCACUGCACAUGGACCAGAGCUGCUUCUAGGGUUUUUCCCUUUAAGGAUACUUUGUCCAGUUCCAAAAAGAGCACAGUCCCUCUCCUUUUGGGACACCUGUCCCCCCCAAAUUUCACCCCCUGGGGCCGAGGGGUCUCUUGAACAGAGAUCAUCUUCCUCUUCCUCUUCUUCGAAGACGGAGGGCACCACCACCACCCUCCUCACCCGUCGUCUCUGUUCACACACCUCCACAUCACUGCACUCUCCUGGCUCUGAGCCAUUGCCUCCCCUUUUAGAAUGCACCCCCAAUGUCACAGGGGCCAAGGGGUCUCUUGAACAGAGAUCAUCUUCCUCUUCCUCUUCUUCGAAGACAGAGGGCACCACCACCACCCUCCUCACCCGUCGUCUCUGUUCACACUCCUCCACAUCACUGCACUCUCCUGGCUCUGAGCCAUCGCUCCCCCUAGAAUGCAGUCUCUGUGUCACAGGAACACAAGGGGUUCUGCUGUGGCUAUACAAGAAAAGUCCAGCCCAAAGGCCACUCCAUCAUCUCCUCCCACCUAGAAUUCUUCUCAACAUCUCUCAGUCUGAUCAACUUCAGGAGGAAUCAGCAUUUGCAAGGUUCUCAUCUUCCUCAGAAGGGUUAAAAGUCCCAGGCUCUGCCGGUUUACUUCAUCAACUCCCACGCCUGGCUGCCCUGCUGGGCACCCCCCUUCUCCUUCACGCCGGCUGCUAUCACAGGCACCGGCUCUGUCUCUCUCUCCCUCUCUCCGGGGGGGGGAAUGGAGGAUGGCUGCCCGAAGCCCUUGCAAUGUUCUCCUCCACCCUUGGGCCCAGGCCUGGCCUACCUCUCUCCGGCCACAUGGCUCCCCUC
rnacentral:lncRNA from 1 species